rnacentral:lncRNA from 1 species
UAACUGUGUACUAGAGAUGUCAGUUUGGAAUCAUAAUAACUUCUUUUAUAUAGCUUAUCAAAACAAAGUUACAUCGGUUAUAAACUUUCCGUUUUCACCAGAAGUAAUAAAAUGUGACAAGGUUUUUGGCAUGAUGUAUUAAUAAAAAUUCUUUAGUAUAAUUAUAGACUUUAUUGUCUUAGAUGCAUGAUUCUUUUUUAUACGACC